CAGUCGCCACGGUAAUACGAGGGGGGCAAGCGUUGUUCGGAAUUAUUGGGCGUAAAGGGUGCGUAGGCGGUUUGAUAAGUCAUCUGUGAAAUCUCUGGGCUCAACCCAGAGUCUGCAGGCGAAACUGUCGGGCUUGAGUAUGGGAGAGGUGAGUGGAAUUUCCGGUGUAGCGGUGAAGUGCGUAGAUAUCGGAAGGAACACCUGUGGCGAAAGCGGCUCACUGGACCAUAACUGACGCUGAUGCACGAAAGCUAGGGGAGCAAACAGGAUUAGAUACCCCAGUAGUCCCUGUCUCUUAUAC
rnacentral:rRNA from 1 species